GACGAACGCUGGCGGCGUGCCUAACACAUGCAAGUCGAGCGGGGAUUUAAGUGGAAGUUCUUCGGAAUGGAGAUUUAACUUCUAGCGGCGGACGGGUGAGUAACGCGUGAACAAUCUGUUCCGGACAGGGGGAUAACACUUGGAAACAGGUGCUAAUACCGCAUCAGACCACGGCCUCGCAUGGGGCUGAGGUAAAAGGAGCAAUCCGGUUCGGGGUGAGUUCGCGUCCGAUUAGCUAGUUGGUGAGGUAACGGCCCACCAAGGCGACGAUCGGUAGCCGGCCUGGGAGGGUGAACGGCCACAUUGGAACUGAGAGACGGUCCAAACUCCUACGGGAGGCAGCAGGGGGGAAUAUUGGGCAAUGGGCGAAAGCCUGACCCAGCAACGCCGCGUGAGGGAAGAAGGUUUUCGGAUUGUAAACCUCUGUCCUAUGGGACGAAGGAAGUGACGGUACCAUAGGAGGAAGCCCCGGCUAACUACGUG
rnacentral:rRNA from 1 species